rnacentral:rRNA from 1 species
GAUGAACGCUGGCGGCGUGCCUAAUACAUGCAAGUCGAGCGAACGGACGAGAAGCUUGCUUCUCUGAUGUCAGCGGCGGACGGGUGAGUAACACGUGGAUAACCUACCUAUAAGACUGGGAUAACUUCGGGAAACCGGAGCUAAUACCGGAUAAUAUUUUGAACCGCAUGGUUCAAAAGUGAAAGACGGUCUUGCUGUCACUUAUAGGUGGAUCCGCGCUGCAUUAGCUAGUUGGUAAGGUAACGGCUUACCAAGGCAACGAUGCAUAGCCGACCUGAGAGGGUGAUCGGCCACACUGGAACUGAGACACGGUCCAGACUCCUACGGGAGGCAGCAGUAGGGAAUCUUCCGCAAUGGGCGAAAGCCUGACGGAGCAACGCCGCGUGAGUGAUGAAGGUCUUCGGAUCGUAAAACUCUGUUAUUAGGGAAGAACAUAUGUGUAAGUAACUGUGCACAUCUUGACGGUACCUAAUCAGAAAGCCACGGCUAACUACGUGCCAGCAGCCGCGGUAGUACGUAGGUGGCAAGCGUUAUCCGGAAUUAUUGGGCGUAAAGCGCGCGUAGGCGGUUUUUUAAGUCUGAUGUGAAAGCCCACGGCUCAACCGUGGAGGGUCAUUGGAAACUGGAAAACUUGAGUGCAGAAGAGGAAAGUGGAAUUCCAUGUGUAGCGGUGAAAUGCGCAGAGAUAUGGAGGAACACCAGUGGCGAAGGCGACUUUCUGGUCUGUAACUGACGCUGAUGUGCGAAAGCGUGGGGAUCAAACAGGAUUAGAUACCCUGGUAGUCCACGCCGUAAACGAUGAGUGCUAAGUGUUAGGGGGUUUCCGCCCCUUAGUGCUGCAGCUAACGCAUUAAGCACUCCGCCUGGGGAGUACGACCGCAAGGUUGAAACUCAAAGGAAUUGACGGGGACCCGCACAAGCGGUGGAGCAUGUGGUUUAAUUCGAAGCAACGCGAAGAACCUUACCAAAUCUUGACAUCCUUUGACAACUCUAGAGAUAGAGCUUUCCCCUUCGGGGGACAAAGUGACAGGUGGUGCAUGGUUGUCGUCAGCUCGUGUCGUGAGAUGUUGGGUUAAGUCCCGCAACGAGCGCAACCCUUAAGCUUAGUUGCCAUCAUUAAGUUGGGCACUCUAAGUUGACUGCCGGUGACAAACCGGAGGAAGGUGGGGAUGACGUCAAAUCAUCAUGCCCCUUAUGAUUUGGGCUACACACGUGCUACAAUGGACAAUACAAAGGGCAGCGAAACCGUGAGGUCAAGCAAAUCCCAUAAAGUUGUUCUCAGUUCGGAUUGUAGUCUGCAACUCGACUACAUGAAGCUGGAAUCGCUAGUAAUCGUAGAUCAGCAUGCUACGGUGAAUACGUUCCCGGGUCU